rnacentral:rRNA from 1 species
GACGAACGCUGGCGGCGUGCCUAAUACAUGCAAGUAGAACGCACAGUUUAUACCGUAGCUUGCUACACCAUAAACUGUGAGUUGCGAACGGGUGAGUAACGCGUAGGUAACCUGCCUGGUAGCGGGGGAUAACUAUUGGAAACGAUAGCUAAUACCGCAUAAUAUUGAUUAUUGCAUGAUAAUUGAUUGAAAGAUGCUAUUGCAUCACUACCAGAUGGACCUGCGUUGUAUUAGCUAGUAGGUGAGGUAACGGCUCACCUAGGCGACGAUACAUAGCCGACCUGAGAGGGUGAUCGGCCACACUGGGACUGAGACACGGCCCAGACUCCUACGGGAGGCAGCAGUAGGGAAUCUUCGGCAAUGGACGAAAGUCUGACCGAGCAACGCCGCGUGAGUGAAGAAGGUUUUCGGAUCGUAAAGCUCUGUUGCAAGAGAAGAACGGGUGUGAGAGUGGAAAGUUCACACUGUGACGGUAUCUUACCAGAAAGGGACGGCUAACUACGUG